UAUCUUCAUCGCGGAGUCAUUUUUACUAAAGAUAACCUUAUCAAGAGGAAUUGGCAUGGAAGUCUGCAAUGUAUUUUUUGUCAUCAUGAUGAGACAAUAAAACAUUUAUUCUUCCAAUGCAAAGUGUCUCGGUCUAUAUGGUCAGUCAUCCAGAUAGCUUCUGGCUUGUAUCCUCCUUGUAUGUUGCUAAUGUAUUUGGCGGAUGGUUAUAUGGGAUUGAUCACAGGUUUAGAACUCUUCUUGGGGUGGGAGUGCUUGCCAUUAUUUGGUCUCUUUGGCUAUGUAGAAAUGAUAAGGUUUUUAACGAUAAAAGUACUUCUCCCAUGCAGGUUAUCUAUAGAUGUACCAGGACUCUUCAUUUAUUGUUCUCUCUACGGCGCGUGGACAAUCGAGACCUAUUUAUGGAAGUGUGUUCAUGAUUGGAGGAUAUGGCUAGGGAUAUUUUUAUCCAACAUGGGUGGCAGCAUGAUCUUAGGAUUGACCAACCUGCGCUUUAGGCGUUGUACAGACUCUACACGUUUCUUUGUAUUCCACAUUUUUAUUUUUCAUUGUGCGAGAGGACUUUGUUUGGCUGUGUGCGUCUUAGUUAUGCAGAGUCCGCGUUUAAUGCUUAAACCUUUUAAGUAA
rnacentral:rRNA from 1 species